ACAAGAUAAAGGAUCAUGUUUUUAAGCAUCUCAGAGAUUUUCUGUUAUUUCAAUUUCUCCUUAUGAGCUAAGCAGAGUCUGUGAUUACUGGUAAUAGCAAAAUUUGCCUAGAGGAUUCUAAUUUGUAUUUUAGAAGGGAUAUUGCCAUACAAGGAAUCUAUUAAACAACAUCGUGAUUCAAGUAUGGAAGAAGUGUCUAAGCAAUUCGAUAUUCAAGCCUAAUUAAUCCUAAAAGAAUGAAGUUAACAAGUAUCUACAACGGAAGGGACAAUUCUUAUUAUUGUUAAAUAAGACUUUUUCAUAAUUCAUA